CCAGCUUUUCCUCGCCAGGAGCCCGGCUUCCACUCCCCACGUGGGAAUAGUCCAUCCCCAGAUUCGCCAUUGUCCACCCCUUGCCCUGCCCUCCUUUGCCUUCCACCCCCACCAUCCAGAUGGAGACCCUGAGAAGGGCCCUGGGAGCUCUGGGAAUUUGGAGUGACCAAAGGUGUGCCCUGUACACAGGCGAGGACCCUGCACCUGGAUGGGGGUCCCUGUGGGUCACACUGGGGGCGGGGGCGGGGGCUGUGGGAGUAAAAUACUGAAUAUAUUGAGUUUUUCAGUUUUGAAAAAAAUCUCAUGUUUGAAUCGUAACAUGCACUGCAUAGACACCACUGUAUGCGUUUACAGAAGCCUGUGAGUGAACGGGGUGGUGGUCAGUGCGGGCCCAUGGCCUGGCUGGGCCUGGGAGGUUUCUGAUGCUGUGAGGCAGGAGGGGAAGGAGGGUAGGGGAUAGACAGUGGGAGCCCCCACCCUGGAAGACAUAACAGUAAGUCCAGGCCCGAAGGGCAGCAGGGAUGCUGAGGGCCCAGCUUGGGCAGCGGGGAUGAUGGAGGGCCCGGCCGGGGUGGCAGGGAUGAUGGGGGCCCCAGCUGGGGUGGCAGGGGUGAUGGUGGGGGGCUGGUCUGGGUGGCGGGGAAGAUGGGGAAGCCUGGCUGGGCCCCCUCCUCCCCUGCCUCCCACCUGCAGCCGUGGAUCUGGAUGUGCUUCCCUGGUGCACAUCCUCUGGGCCAUCAGCUUUCAUGGAGGUGGGGGGCAGGGGCAUGACACCAUCCUGUAUAAAAUCCAGGAUUCCUCCUCCUGAGCCACCCAACUCAGGUUGAAAGUCACAUUCUGCCUCUGGCCAUUCUCUUAAGAGUAGACCAGGAUUCUGAUCUCUGAAGGGUGGGUAGGUUGGGGCAGUGGAGGGUGUGGACACAGGGUGGGGCUGGUGAUGCUCUCUCAUCCUCUUAUCAUCUCCCAGUCUCAUCUCUCAUCCUCUUAUCUCCCAGUCUCAUCUCUCAUCCUCUUAUCUCCUAGUCUCAUCCAGACUUACCUCCCAGGGCGGGUGCCAGGCUCGCAGUGGAGCUGGACAUGCGUCCUUCCUCAGGCAGAAGGAACUGGAAGGAUUGCAGAGAACAGGAGGGGCGGCUCAGAGGGACGCAGUCUUGGGGUGAAGAAACAGCCCCUCCUCAGAAGUUGGCUUGGGCCACAUGAAACCGAGGGCCCGGCGUGAGUGGCUCCAGAGCCUUCCAGCGGGUCCCUGGUGGGGCCUUAUGGUAUGGCCGGGUCCUACUGAGUGCACCUUGGACAGGGCUUCUGGUUUGAGUGCAGCCCGGAUGUGCCUGGUGUCGGGGUGGGGGCUUAUGGCCACUGGAUAUGGCCUCAUUUAUUGCUGCUGCUUCAGAGAAUGUCUGAGUGACCGAGCCUAAUGUGUUUAUGGUGGGCCCAAGUCCACAGACUGUGUCGUAAAUGCACUCAAGUAUUAGACCCUUAAAAAAGGUAUUUGCUUUGAUAUGGCUUAACUCACUAAGCACCUACUUUGUCUGUUUUUAUUUAUUAAUUAUUAUUAUUAUUAUUAUUAGAGAUGGCGUCUACUCUGUCACCCAGGUUGUUAGUACAGUGGCACAGUCGUGGCUCGCUGUAGCCGCAAACCCCCAGGCUCAAGUGAUCCUCCGGCCUCAGCUUCCCAGCGUGCUGGGAUUACAGGUGUGAGCCACUGCCCUUGCCUGGCACUUUUAAAAACCACUAUGUAAGGUCAGGCCCGGUGGCUUCCACACCUGUCAUCCCAGUAGUUUGGGAAGCUGAGGCAGAAGGAUUGUCUGAGGCCAGGAGUUUGAGACCAGCAUGGGUAACAUAGGGAGACCCCAUCUCUACAAAAAAUGCAAAAAGUUAGCCGGGCGUGGGGUCCAGCAUCUGUAGUCCCAGCUGCUCGGGAGGCUGAGUGGGAGGAUUGCUUGAGCCCGGGAGGUCGUGGCUGCAGUGAGCUGUGAUUGUACCAUUGCACUCCAGCCUGGGC
rnacentral:lncRNA from 1 species